UUUCACUAAAACUUCAAAGUAACCUUCUGCAUUCCUUGGGCUAAUCGGAGUGUAGGCUCGCUGGACCUCCAAACCGUUCACCUCUCCUCUGAGAAGAGAAAUACAGGAAGCCACUGUAACUCGUGUCAUUGCCAGCUCUUGGACACGUCCAUGGAAGGAGGCUUGAGAUGUUUUAUGAGAAACUGUUCAGUGCGCAAGAGUGGGAAAGGAAAAAGAAAAUGCUUUCUUGAAUGUAUCCACAUUGCUCUUCACUACUGACUAUGUUAAUUGACGGACGUGACCAAACCCUUUCCUCUGCUGCAUUAGGAGAGAGGGUGGAAUGAGAAGCAUGUACUUUCAGCAGCCAGCCAGCUGUAUACAUCAGCUGUUAACGUACAAAUAACGUCAACAGAUACAGAUCAAUGGCAUCAUACCAUGACUUUUUCUAACUGGCAAUGAUCACCACAGAUGGCUGAGAGAGACAUAAACUUUUCCCAAGUGACCCCUUUCUGGCAAGCAAUAAACUACGCAGGAGGGUUGUUUUUCUAGAAAUCGGGAGAUGCCUGGACAUCAGAAAUAACACCAUGGGUGCUGAGUUACCCCAAGAUACAGACCCUAAAAUACUGAGCCCUGGGGUUAGCGCAGCUCAUUGUCUUCUUUCCAACAUGCUGGAGUAAAUCAUCUGUUGUAACAUCUAUUCUUUGACUCUUUCUGCAAAUGGAUUUUCUUAAUCACACCUAGUUCUUUCUGACCCACCGAUGCAAGGAUAAUGCUGAAGAAAAAUACAGCUUUGGAAUGGCUUUUAACAUAAAAUUAGUAGAACUAAUGAGCUCACGAGGCCUUUCAUCUGUAUCAUCAUGGAGCUAUAGAAAUUAUGAUUUGCCCGGUAUGAAGGCUUUGUCUAUUGACAAAAACCUAUAUAUUAGGUUACAUAAUGCAGACUGUUUAACUAGCACAGAGAA